AAAAAAUUCCCCAAAAAUGUUGAAAAUGUGGACAUCAGAAGUUUCUUAGAUUCGUUGCCGUGGGUUGUCUAGCGCGGCUAGGCUAACAGCAGCCCCUUUCCGUGUACGAAUCAAACAGAAAACAUCCAUAAAGCUGCAGUUUGUUCUGUGUGAAUAAGGAAUGAAGCGCUGGGUUUUAACAGUGCUGUGCAUCAUUAGGAGUACCUGGUGGGCUAUUAAACACCGUGCUGCUUAAUUUUCACAUUACCUUCAGAUGAUUUUAGAAAAACGGGGCUCCAGCUCAGCCGAUGUCUUUGCUUUAUAUCUGCACCGCUGUAGCUAACGGGCUCGUUAAACAUCUUCUACAUCCUUAGCUGGCCUCAAUGAAGCCGAUUUUCCUAAUUAAGCAGAGGAACUCCCCAUAUUACAGCCAGAAAUGAAAUCAAACUAUUAAGUCAUUAAUGCAAGACCGGUUCGGUUUGGAGUCUGAAAAUCUUCAGGAUGUGUUCGUUAAACCGCCGCCAUUUCUACAGCGUAUUCCAGUCACGUACAGAGACAGGAGAGCCGUUCACCUGUGGUAGCAAACAGGACGGUUUAGGGUGAAAUGAGACAUUCGGUUGAAGUGAACGGGGCUGGAGAGCUUCCUGUCUGCAGGGCAUCAGCCGUGACUCUGUGGGGAGGAGGAAGCAGCAGAUAGGAACACCUCAACGACGGAGAACCACCCAGAGAACGAGCGGAAAGCAGAACAGCCACACGACAGACGGAAAACAAACGGCAGACGGGCCGGAAUACAAACGCAAACAGACGAGGCGGAUUCAAACGGUGAGCGGAGGAGAUGUUCCCAGGGGAGAGACGGCUCUUAACUACUGUACGCAGCUGAAGAUAAAUCUCCGAAGCAAGAGAAGCAUGUGGUUACAUCAGUUUACAUCAGGGGUGUCCAACAUGAGGUCCGUGGACCCAAAGUGGUCCUCCAGAGGGUCCAAUCCGGCCCUCAAAGUGGAAAAAUUCCAGAGAAGACAUUAACUGUAGAUUGUAAAUUAGUAAAACUAUAAAUGUAAAAUAAUUUCUAGACCAUGACAAGUUGUUUGGAUCAGAAAAUAAAAUACUAGAUUGCUC